GCAGCAACAGAGCAGGAAGGAUAAAUGAGCAGAACUAUUGCUGACCAGCAGAAACACAGAACUUCUGGAACUGAAUACACAGGCUCCCACUGGCUUUGGUUGAUUGGGGAGUUUUUGGUGGUGGUGGCUUUGUUGUUGGUCCAUUGCAGAACAUUUUAUUUCUACCUCUCUAGGAGACACUUCAUAAUUCCAGAUCAUGUUAUUGCAUCAAGCAAACAAAAGAUUUGGUAAAAUUGCAUGAUCUAUUCUACACGGGUUGUUAGACUGGAGUAUUCAUUGACAUUGUUCACCCUGAAAUCACAAUAGAAAGCCACCAGAGCAACGGAUUACAUGCCAAACAAGAGGUCUGGCAUCACAAGACAAUAAGAAGAGGAAGCUGAC